ensembl:lncRNA
GUCUAUAGAAAUGCCUUCAUUAUAAUCUCUGGGCGUAGAUACAGAUAAAAAUGAGAGUGAUUAAUAUUGAUACAGGAAAGUCAGCAUCGUCAACAUUAUUAUGAAUAAUAAGUACAGAUUAUUGAACUUUCAUUCCAAGGUCAGAGAUUUUGGCAAAUCUGACCCCUUACGGAAAUCCCACCCUGCACAUGGACAAUCUUUGAUAGAUCAAGGAGACACAUGUUGGAGAGUACAUAAACGAUUAACCUUAUGCUCACUCUUGCAUUAGAAUGCGACCUCACGACUUCCCACCAGUGGCAUCAUUCUUCAGAGAAAAAGGGAUGAUAGACACAGGAAGCAUCAAUGAGCUCGAGCAGAUCCAGUACAAGACAAUACACAGCUGGGGUUCCAAGGACACUGAAUUAGAAUCUAAAUUUCUUAUUUUAGGAAUAGGACUUGGUAGCCGAGAGUCAAAAAAGCAAACAUCACCACACAAAUGAAAUGGUGUGGCCAAUUAAGGAGUAACUAAGACGCCCUAUAAUCUGGUGAUAUUGAAUAGGCAUGAUGAAAGGGCUUGGAAAAUAUACAAACCCACCCAUUGAAAUGGCAUGAAUUCUAAGGUUUUCAGGACCUACAGAACCCCAAAUUACUGGCACUGAGUUUUUGAACAGUAUGGAGAAUACUGAAUUUAUAAAAAAGCAAACUUAGAGUUAACAGGUCAUAAACAUGUCGUGCCUCUGACAAAACAUAGAGGAGAGAUAUACUAAAAUAUGACCCAAUAGAAAAAAUUAAGAGUGGAACUUGUGGAGGUGUUCAGAAACCAAUAUGAAAAGAUUUAAUAUUUCACCAACUAGAUCCUAAAUUCCUCUAAGGUAAUCUUCCUAAUCUAAAGGAUAUGGAAUAGAAGGGGACUGUUGCUUGCUUUGUAACAAGCUGCAGGAACAGGGAGAAGUAAAAAAAAAAUUCUCAGUGCCUCAGUUUCCCUACCUGUAAAGUUAUCUUAAUGAUAUUAACUACAAGCCUAUCUCAAAAGGAUGCUUGGUCAAUUAAUGAGAAAGUAUGUGUGAAUGUUUUUAUCUCUUUGGGGUCCAGUUAUUACACUUAUUGCAGAUGCUUGAAUAUGAACUGUUGUGUCACUGCUUAUGUCUUUUGUGUGUAAUUAAUGUUAAUAAGGGCCAACUGGGAGUCAGUUCUGGGUGAACUGGUACUGAUUCCUUGUCUCCUCCCAUGAUGCCUAAUAGGUUUGGCGUUUUGAAAGAAAGCAAAGAGGGCAGCUAAAGAAAAGAAGUCUUCAUUCAUGAGGACUGGAAUUGGCAAGGGAGCAGAAUUUUCAGGUAGCUCAAGGAAGGGAGGUUUAGCUCAACUGAGGAAAGGAAGAGAGGCAAGUUGGAUUAAGACAAGGAGAGAUUUUCAGGCAGCUGAAUAAACUCAGCUCAGCCAUAACGGGAGAGAAGAUG